ACGAUAAUAGUUUAAUUAAAAACAUUGAACUUGUAAUUCAAAAAUGAUCUUUUCUUAUUGUG
rnacentral:tRNA from 1 species